GCCCCUGUAGCGCGAUGGAUAGCGCAUUGGACUUCUAAUCCAAAGAUCGUGGGUUGGAAUCCCACCUGGGAUG
rnacentral:tRNA from 1 species